CAGGAAGCAGCUUGCUGCUUUGCUGACGAGUGGCGGACGGGUGAGUAAUGUCUGGGAAACUGCCUGGUGGAGGGGGAUAACUACUGGAAACGGUAGCUAAUACCGCAUAACGUCGCAAGACCAAAGAGGGGGACCUUCGGGCCUCUUGCCAUCGGAUGUGCCCAGAUGGGAUUAGCUAGUAGGUGGGGUAACGGCUCACCUAGGCGACGAUCCCUAGCUGGUCUGAGAGGAUGACCAGCCACACUGGAACUGAGACACGGUCCAGACUCCUACGGGAGGCAGCAGUGGGGAAUAUUGCACAAUGGGCGCAAGCCUGAUGCAGCCAUGCCGCGUGUAUGAAGAAGGCCUUCGGGUUGUAAAGUACUUUCAGCGGGGAGGAAGGGAGUAAAGUUAAUACCUUUGCUCAUUGACGUUACCCGCAGAAGAAGCACCGGCUAACUCCGUGCCAGCAGCCGCGGUAAUACGGAGGGUGCAAGCGUUAAUCGGAAUUACUGGGCGUAAAGCGCACGCAGGCGGUUUGUUAAGUCAGAUGUGAAAUCCCCGGGCUCAACCUGGGAACUGCAUCUGAUACUGGCAAGCUUGAGUCUCGUAGAGGGGGGUAGAAUUCCAGGUGUAGCGGUGAAAUGCGUAGAGAUCUGGAGGAAUACCGGUGGCGAAGGCG
rnacentral:rRNA from 1 species